UACUGAGGGUGCGAGCGUUAAUCGGAAUUACUGGGCGUAAAGGGCGCGUAGGUGGUCUGUUAAGAUUGAUGUGAAAUCCCUGGGCUUAACCUAGGAACUGCAUCGAUGACUGAGAGGCUGGAGUACUGUAGAGGGUAGUGGAAUUUCCGGUGUAGCGGUGAAAUGCGUAGAGAUCGGAAGGAACACCAGUGGCGAAGGCGGCUACCUGGACAGAUACUGACACUGAGGCGCGAGAGCGUGGGGAGCAAACAGG
rnacentral:rRNA from 1 species